CGGAUGUGUGGAUAAAAAGAACGUGGAAAACGAGUGCAGUAACGACGAUAUUUAAAAUAGUAUCAUUCAUAAUUCGAUAGAUGGACUUUUCAGCUACUUGUAAACGGCGAAAUUGUGUCUAAGUUGUGAAUGAGCUUUUUAUUUUCAUUUGCGUACCGAAGUGGUAAAACUGACGACCUAAAGUACGAUAUACGGAAUAAAGCAAGUUCUAAUACUCUCUGCAGUUUGUCCAGUGCUACUUGGCGCUGUUCAUUCCAAUUAGCCGUAAAUUUGUGAAAUAGAUCCCAAGAUAAUCUCCGUUUUAUUUAAUUCCAAAGAGGUUAUCUUUUUAAUAGUUGGCAUUUUCUAGCUUCUUGGUUGCUAUAAGGCAUAGUUGAAGUGCAGUGAGAGGAAGAGGGGAACUCACGGAAAGAGACUCCUUAUACUUUUGUCAACGGGUGUGUUCCAAAAUUCGCUAGUUAAACACUUUAUUAGCAGCGGUCCCAUUGAGUCAAAACCCCGCUGAAUGUUGCGACACAAUCUGAUCAUACCACAUAAUCAUUGCAGCGCCUACUUUUUGACUUCUAGCAGCCAAAUUGUUAUUCAGAUUUAGUUGGCGGUACGACUCCUUACAGCAGUAAAUUAUUCGAAUUAGUAACAAGCGAGUGAUUCGUAUGUGGAGAUAGGAAACGAAGACUGAGCAGAAGCACCCACGCUAAGUAAUUGUAUUCUUGAAUUGGGAGCCUGAAGAAUUAUGAUCAAGCUCAGCAUCUUUUCGUAGCGUCUUCGAGAAUUAGUCCUGUGAGCGGAAGGUUGAAAGUUAUAAAUGAUGUCUUAUUUUUUUGGAUGAUCUCCCCAGACCCAGAUGUCAUCUGUAAAGAAUUUAGUAGGACAAUUGAAGACGCUGUCUUCCAAUUGAUUCAGCGAAGCCUUUUCUUAAGAUCAUUCAUAUUCUUGUCAAA
rnacentral:sRNA from 1 species